rnacentral:rRNA from 1 species
UACGUAGGGUGCAAGCGUUGUCCGGAAUUAUUGGGCGUAAAGAGCUCGUAGGCGGUCUGUCGCGUCUGCUGUGAAAACUCAGGGCUUAACCCUGAGCUUGCAGUGGGGUACGGGGCAGACUAGAGUGCGGUAGGGGAGACUGGAAUUCCUGGUGUAGCGGUGAAAUGCGCAGAUAUCAGGAGGAACACCGGUGGCGAAGGCGGGUCUCUGGGCCGUAACUGACGCUGAGGAGCGAAAGUGUGGGGAGCGAACAGG